rnacentral:rRNA from 1 species
UACAGAGGUCUCAAGCGUUGUUCGGAUUCAUUGGGCGUAAAGGGUGUGUAGGUGGCGCCGUAAGUCGGGUGUGAAAUCUUGGAGCUUAACUCCGAAACUGCAUUCGAUACUGCCGGUGCUUGAGGACUGGAGAGGAGACUGGAAUUUACGGUGUAGCGGUGAAAUGCGUAGAGAUCGUAAGGAAGACCAGUGGCGAAGGCGGGUCUCUGGACAGUUCCUGACACUGAGGCACGAAGGCCAGGGGAGCAAACGGG